GACUGAGGGAAGAGUCAACUCCCUAGGCCAGAGCAAGUCCUCAGAUGCCAAAGUGAGGACAAACCAUUGACACAGAGCACCAUCAAUUACCAGGUUGUGAGAUGUAAUGAAAGGAGCCCAAGUUUUUGAAUCAAAUGAACCUGGCUUCUAUAAUCCUGGAUGUUUCUUGCUGGCUUUGGAUUUUAGGCAAGUCAUUCAAGUUCUCGGAUCCUUCAACUGAAUGUCUUCAUCUUUAAAAUGAAGAAUUUGUCACCACGAUCUGAAUGGGCUCCCAAAGUGACCUCAGCUGAUUAUAGGAGUAUUGGAUUUAUUUACAAGAAGGGAAGAUGUAGAUUCCCUCAUGGCAAAAUCCUGAACUGCAGUGAUGCCUCCUCUUCAAAAUCAGCAGGCUAAGUGUUUAUUUCAGAAUCUCCUGGCACUGGAGACAGCUGGGAAAAUGAAGAAAGAAUACUCAAUUUAACAUGUUCUGGACUUACAUAUAAAUAGUUUCAUGAAAAGACAUUUCUCAAAGUCUGAAUUUUUGCUGUGAGUUCCAAAAAUUGCUGGCAAAGAUUGGUUCACUAUAAGUGGGACAAAGGAAAAUCAGUAAAAACCUAUAAUGUCAUAUUUUGGAAGUGAUCUUUAACAGAUAGUGUCUAAAUUUAUAGAGGAUGUGUUGGCAGCUAGGAGAUUGGCAUUGAUUAGAAAAUCUGGGAGAAUGCAAGUUUUAGACAGAUAGCUGCUGCGAUGUUUCUCUUUCAUUUUGCUGAUCUGAGAUAUGAUAGCAGAGAGGCCUACUCUUCUGCUUGCACUUCUGAAUAACAAUCUUUCUGGGAGCACUGGGAAUUAAGAGAGAGAGAGACAGAGAGAUGCUCCG